rfam:Emmonsia crescens TAMH 3008 supercont1.392, whole genome shotgun sequence.
GGGCGCUUGGUUUAGUGGUAUAAUAUGUCAUUCGCAUUGACGGGGUCGCCGGUUCGAUUCCGGCAGCGUCCA